GGCUCGGGAGAGACCUGCGGCUGGAAAGCGCGCGGGAACCGAAGGGGCAACGUUACAAAUCGAUAAACUCUCAGGUAAAAGUACCGGGCA
rnacentral:ncRNA from 1 species